GCAGCCAGCAGAGGGAGCACAGAGCACACACCGGCCCAAGCUCCAGGCGACCCGCAGCAGCCGGCGCGCGACCGCGGCCCUGAAAUCAUCCUAUCUGAGCGAGAAGUGAAUCUGGCCUUUGGUGAAGCCACUUUCUACUCUUUUAUGCAAGGAGUGGACAGAAUCUACAGGAAGUGCUCACGUCAUCUGGAGAAACGGCUGUUCAGGCAAAAAGG